GGUACAGGGUGAUAGUCCCGUACACAAAAACACACUGGCUGUGAACUCGAUGAGUAGGGCGGGACACGUGACAUCCUGUCUGAAUAUGGGGGGACCAUCCUCCAAGGCUAAAUACUCCUGACUGACCGAUAGUGAACCAGUACCGUGAGGGAAAGGCGAAAAGAACCCCGGCGAGGGGAGUGAAAUAGAACCUGAAACCGUGUACGUACAAGCAGUGGGAGCACCUUCGUGGUGUGACUGCGUACCUUUUGUAUAAUGGGUCAGCGACUUAUAUUUUGUAGCAAGGUUAACCGAAUAGGGGAGCCGUAGGGAAACCGAGUCUUAACUGGGCGUCUAGUUGCAAGGUAUAGACCCGAAACCCGGUGAUCUAGCCAUGGGCAGGUUGAAGGUUGGGUAACACUAACUGGAGGACCGAACCGACUAAUGUUGAAAAAUUAGCGGAUGACUUGUGGCUGGGGGUGAAAGGCCAAUCAAACCGGGAGAUAGCUGGUUCUCCCCGAAAGCUAUUUAGGUAGCGCCUCGUGAACUCAUCUUCGGGGGUAGAGCACUGUUUCGGCUAGGGGUCCAUCCCGGAUUACCAAACCGAUGCAAACUCCGAAUACCGAAGAAUGUUAUCACGGGAGACACACGGCGGGUGCUAACGUCCGUCGUGAAGAGGGAAACAACCCAGACCGCCAGCUAAGGUCCCAAAGUCAUGGUUAAGUGGGAAACGAUGUGGGAAGGCAUAGACAGCCAGGAUGUUGGCUUAGAAGCAGCCAUCAUUUAAAGAAAGCGUAAUAGCUCACUGGUCGAGUCGGCCUGCGCGGAAGAUGUAACGGGGCUAAACCAUGCACCGAAGCUGCGGCAGCGACGCUUAGGCGUUGUUGGGUAGGGGAGCGUUCUGUAAGCCGUUGAAGGUGGCCUGUGAGGGCUGCUGGAGGUAUCAGAAGUGCGAAUGCUGACAUAAGUAACGAUAAUGCGGGUGAAAAACCCGCACGCCGGAAGACCAAGGGUUCCUGUCCAACGUUAAUCGGGGCAGGGUGAGUCGACCCCUAAGGCGAGGCUGAAAAGCGUAGUCGAUGGGAAACAGGUUAAUAUUCCUGUACUGGGUGUGACUGCGAAGGGGGGACGGAGAAGGCUAGGCUAGCCGGGCGACGGUUGUCCCGGUUUAAGCAUGUAGGCGGAGCGACUUGGUAAAUCCGGUUGCUUAUCAACGCUGAGGUGUGAUGACGAGCCACUACGGUGGUGAAGUAGUUGAUGCCAAGCUUCCAGGAAAAGCCUCUAAGCAUCAGGUGACAUUCAAUCGUACCCCAAACCGACACAGGUGGUCAGGUAGAGAAUACUCAGGCGCUUGAGAGAACUCGGGUGAAGGAACUAGGCAAAAUGGUGCCGUAACUUCGGGAGAAGGCACGCUGGCAUUAGGUAAAGAGACUUGCUCUCGGCGCCGAAGCCAGUCGCAGAUACCAGCUGGCUGCAACUGUUUAAUAAAAACACAGCACUGUGCAAACACGAAAGUGGACGUAUACGGUGUGACGCCUGCCCGGUGCUGGAAGGUUAAUUGAUGGGGUCAGCCGCAAGGCGAAGCUCUUGAUCGAAGCCCCAGUAAACGGCGGCCGUAACUAUAACGGUCCUAAGGUAGCGAAAUUCCUUGUCGGGUAAGUUCCGACCUGCACGAAUGGCGUAAUGAUGGCCAGGCUGUCUCCACCCGAGACUCAGUGAAAUUGAACUCGCUGUGAAGAUGCAGUGUACCCGCGGCAAGACGGAAAGACCCCGUGAACCUUUACUAUAGCUUGACACUGAAUAUUGAGCCUUGAUGUGUAGGAUAGGUGGGAGGCAUCGAAGCGUGGACGCCAGUCUGCGUGGAGCCAACCUUGAAAUACCACCCUUUAAUGUUUGAUGUUCUAACUCGGCCCCAUAAUCUGGGGUGAGGACAGUGUCUGGUGGGUAGUUUGACUGGGGCGGUCUCCUCCCAAAGAGUAACGGAGGAGCACGAAGGUUAGCUAAUCACGGUCGGACAUCGUGAGGUUAGUGCAAAGGCAUAAGCUAGCUUGACUGCGAGAGUGACGGCUCGAGCAGGUACGAAAGUAGGUCUUAGUGAUCCGGUGGUUCUGAAUGGAAGGGCCAUCGCUCAACGGAUAAAAGGUACUCCGGGGAUAACAGGCUGAUACCGCCCAAGAGUUCAUAUCGACGGCGGUGUUUGGCACCUCGAUGUCGGCUCAUCACAUCCUGGGGCUGAAGUAGGUCCCAAGGGUAUGGCUGUUCGCCAUUUAAAGUGGUACGCGAGCUGGGUUUAGAACGUCGUGAGACAGUUCGGUCCCUAUCUGCCGUGGGCGUUGGAAGAUUGAGAGGGGCUGCUCCUAGUACGAGAGGACCGGAGUGGACGCAUCACUGGUGUUCGGGUUGUCAUGCCAAUGGCAUUGCCCGGUAGCUAAAUGCGGAAAAGAUAAGCGCUGAAAGCAUCUAAGCGCGAAACUUGCCUCGAGAUGAGUCUUCCCUGGGGCUUUAAGCCCCCUGAAGGAACGUUAAAGACUAUGACGUUGAUAGGCUGGGUGUGUAAGUGCAGCGAUGCAUUGAGCUAACCAGUACUAAUGAUCCGUGAGGCUUAACCUUACAACACCGAAGGUGUUU
rnacentral:rRNA from 1 species